GUCGAGAAUUUUUCACAAUGGGCGCAAGCCUGAUGGAGCGACGCCGCGUGGGGGAUGAAUGGCUUCGGCCCGUAAACCCCUGUCAUUUGCGAUCAAACCUUGCUAUUUAAAAGAUGGCGAGCUGAUAGUAGCGAAAGAGGAAGGGACGGCUAACUCUGUGCCAGCAGCCGCGGUAAUACAGAGGUCCCAAGCGUUGUUCGGAUUCACUGGGCGUAAAGGGUGCGUGGGGGGUGGGGUAAGUCGGAUGUGAAAUCUCGGAGCUCAACUCCGAAAUGGCAUUGGAAACUACCCUGCUAGAGGGUCGGAGGGGGUACUGGAAUUCUCGGUGUGGCAGUGAAAUGCGUAGAUAUCGAGAGGAACACCAGUGGCGAAGGCGAGUCCCUGGACGACUCCUGACACUGAGGCACGAAAGCUAGGGGAGCAAACA
rnacentral:rRNA from 1 species